rnacentral:sRNA from 1 species
AAAACCUUUAGUUCUGCCCAUAAUUUUAGGCCAUUGAUGAAUAAAUUUUGUACAAGAUUGGCUACUGUUAAGAACUCCCUUUGUAUUGUAUUUUGACUUAAACAAGGUUUAAACAAAAUAGUUCCACAAACAAGACACGAAGGCAUGAUGCGUGUUAGACCUUUGUGUACCCUAUUUCGUUAGUUUAGUAUGAAGCUGAUAUGAAGAUAAAACGGUAUGCCCAGAAAUGUAUGGGAUUCAAGUUCGGUUAUCGAUACUAUCGACUGGAUACGAUUGGUGCGCGCCAAAUAUAAAUUGCUUGAAAGUGAAUGAGCGAAAAGGAUUUAAGUGCAAUCUAUUGGAAUAAAUGAUACACGUGUUUUCCAGUGCCGCACCAAGAUUUCCAGAUCUUGAGAUGGCUUGAAAACUUUUGCUACAUUUUAUAAGGAGCGAAUAUUGCACUGUUGA